rnacentral:lncRNA from 1 species
AAUGGACAACUCAAUGUUGCUCGUGCUAUUGGCGAUUGGCACGUGGAAGGGAUGAAAAGCCGAGGCGGGGGACCACUCAGCGCAGAACCUGAGUUUAUGAGUACAAAACUCACCGCCGAGGAUGAAUUCCUCAUAAUUGGUUGCGACGGGAUUUGGGAUGUAUUUAGGAGCCAGAAUGCAGUAGACUUUGCUCGCCGCAGGCUUCAGGAACAUAAUGACCCCACCAUGUGUAGCAAGGAUUUGGUUGAUGAGGCUUUGAAAAGAAAGAGUGGAGACAAUUUAUCUGCUGUUGUAAUUUGCUUCCAGCAACAACCUCCGCCUAACUUGGUGGUGCCGCGCUCGAGAGUGCACAGGAGCUUCUCCGCCGAAGGCUUGAGGGAGUUGCAAAGCUUCCUGGAUAACUUAGGUAAUUGAGCUUUUGAUGUUAAAUUUUCUCUUUUUUUUUUGUCUAAUGACGGAUCAGGUAUUUGAUGGACAUGGUGGAAAGCAUGCUGCUGAUUUUGCUUGCCACCAUUUACCAAAGUUCAUUGUUCAAGAUGAUGAUUUCCCAAGUGAUAUUGAGAGGAUAAUUGCUUCAGCAUUUCUGCAAACUGACAAUGCCUUCGCAGAAGCCUGCUCUGUGGAUGCUACCCUUGCAUCUGGCACUACGGCGUUGGCUGCUCUUGUUAUUGGAAGGUUAGGUUUUUGAUACUAAACAAUCUCAACAUACAUUUGAGAAAAUAAGUUUAAGAGCACUAUAGUGCCAAAUGCAUUUUAUUUAUUAUUCUUUACUUCUUAGGUCUUCAGUGUGUUUGAAAUCAUUUGGGUCCAAUGGAGCUUCAGGGGGCAUUGUAACCUGUCUCAAAAGUUGGCCCUUUGUUAUUUUUCUAUGCUUUUCCUUCUCUGAAUGUUGGAGCUCAUUAAUGAUUUAAUUAGUUAUCCAUUAUAGCAUGUUGAAACUUGGCAUCUGUGAGCUGGUGAGUAUGUGCGAAGGAAGAAAAAAGAAGAAAGAGAGGAGAGAAUAUGGAAAAUAGAGCUGAAGAUUUUCUGUUAGUAUGGCAAUUGGCAAAUCACACUCUGCACUAUACAAAGAAUUGCCUUAUAUACAAGAGACCAACAAAAUUGUUAUUCUAACUAACUAUACAGGUUGGACUAACUAGAUUGAGAUGAGUAAUCUAACUAUGGUAAAUAAAUGGUAAAUAAAUGAUCUAACUAUACAUCUCGGUCAUGCUAAUAGAGUUGCUAUAAUAGGUAACUAAUUAAAUCAUUAAUGAGCUCCAACACCGAACGAGAAAAUGACAUGACAUACUACAUGGCUUUGAUAAUCUGCAUGUUGAUUAUAGUUUCUGAUUGCAGGCAACUGGUGGUAGCAAAUGCUGGAGAUUGCCGAGCUGUGCUGUGUCGGCGUGGAAAAGCAAUUGAAAUGUCAAGAGAUCAUAAACCUGUGUGCAUGAAAGAGAAGAAGCGUAUUGAGGCAUCUGGGGGGUAUGUCUAUGAUGGAUAUCUUAAUGGACAACUCAAUGUUGCUCGUGCUAUUGGCGAUUGGCACGUGGAAGGGAUGAAAAGCCGAGGCGGGGGACCACUCAGCGCAGAACCUGAGUUUAUGAGUACAAAACUCACCGCCGAGGAUGAAUUCCUCAUAAUUGGUUGCGACGGGAUUUGGGAUGUAUUUAGGAGCCAGAAUGCAGUAGACUUUGCUCGCCGCAGGCUUCAGGAACAUAAUGACCCCACCAUGUGUAGCAAG